rnacentral:rRNA from 1 species
AACGAACGCUGGCGGCAGGCCUAACACAUGCAAGUCGAACGGAUGUAGCAAUACAUUAGUGGCGCACGGGUGCGUAACACGUGGGAAUGUACCCCAGAGUAAGGAAUAAUGUCUGGAAACGGACACUAAUACCUUAUAAUGACUUUGGUCCAAAGAUUUAUCGCCCUGGGAUCAGCCCGCGCCUGAUUAGCUAGUUGGUGAGGUAAUGGCUCACCAAGGCUACGAUCAGUAGCUGGUCUGAGAGGAUGAUCAGCCACACUGGAACUGAGACACGGUCCAGACUCCUACGGGAGGCAGCAGUGAGGAAUAUUGCACAAUGGAGGAAACUCUGAUGCAGCCAUGCCGCGUGAGUGAAGAAGGCCUUCGGGUUGUAAAGCUCUUUUAGUCGUGAAGAUAAUGACGGUAGCGACAGAAAAAGCCCCGGCUAAGUUCGUGCCAGCCGCCGCGGUAA